rnacentral:rRNA from 1 species
GCGGCGGAGCAUGUGGAUUAAUUCGAUGCAACGCGAAGAACCUUACCUGGGUUUGACAUACACCGGAAAACCGUAGAGAUACGGUCCCCUUGUGGUCGGUGUACAGGUGGUGCAUGGCUGUCGUCAGCUCGUGUCGUGAGAUGUUGGGUUAAGUCCCGCAACGAGCGCAACCCUUGUCUUAUGUUGCCAGCACGUAAUGGUGGGGACUCGUAAGAGACUGCCGGGGUCAACUCGGAGGAAGGUGGGGACGACGUCAAGUCAUCAUGCCCCUUAUGUCCAGGGCUUCACACAUGCUACAAUGGCCAGUACAGAGGGCUGCGAGACCGUGAGGUGGAGCGAAUCCCUUAAAGCUGGUCUCAGUUCGGAUCGGGGUCUGCAACUCGACCCCGUGAAGUCGGAGUCGCUAGUAAUCGCAGAUCAGCAACGCUGCGGUGAAUACGUUCCCGGGCCUU